GCGAUGAUGCAUAGCCGAGUUGAGAGACUGAUCGGCCACAAUGGGACUGAGACACGGCCCAUACUCCUACGGGAGGCAGCAGUAGGGAAUCUUCCACAAUGGGCGCAAGCCUGAUGGAGCAACACCGCGUGAGUGAAGAAGGGUUUCGGCUCGUAAAGCUCUGUUGUUAAAGAAGAACACGUAUGAGAGUAACUGUUCAUACGUUGACGGUAUUUAACCAGAAAGUCACGGCUAACUACGUGCCAGCAGCCGCGGUAAUACGUAGGUGGCAAGCGUUAUCCGGAUUUAUUGGGCGUAAAGAGAGUGCAGGCGGUUUUCUAAGUCUGAUGUGAAAGCCUUCGGCUUAACCGGAGAAGUGCAUCGGAAACUGGAUAACUUGAGUGCAGAAGAGGGUAGUGGAACUCCAUGUGUAGCGGUGGAAUGCGUAGAUAUAUGGAAGAACACCAGUGGCGAAGGCGGCUACCUGGUCUGCAACUGACGCUGAGACUCGAAAGCAUGGGUAGCGAACAGGAUUAGAUACCCUGGUAGUCCAUGCCGUAAACGAUGAGUGCUAGGUGUUGGAGGGUUUCCGCCCUUCAGUGCCGGAGCUAACGCAUUAAGCACUCCGCCUGGGGAGUACGACCGCAAGGUUGAAACUCAAAGGAAUUGACGGGGGCCCGCACAAGCGGUGGAGCAUGUGGUUUAAUUCGAAGCUACGCGAAGAACCUUACCAGGUCUUGACAUCUUGCGCCAACCCUAGAGAUAGGGCGUUUCCUUCGGGAACGCAAUGACAGGUGGUGCAUGGUCGUCGUCAGCUCGUGUCGUGAGAUGUUGGGUUAAGUCCCGCAACGAGCGCAACCCUUGUUACUAGUUGCCAGCAUUAAGUUGGGCACUCUAGUGAGACUGCCGGUGACAAACCGGAGGAAGGUGGGGACGACGUCAGAUCAUCAUGCCCCUUAUGACCUGGGCUACACACGUGCUACAAUGGACGGUACAACGAGUCGCGAACUCGCGAGGGCAAGCAAAUCUCUUAAAACCGUUCUCAGUUCGGACUGCAGGCUGCAACUCGCCUGCACGAAGUCGGAAUCGCUAGUAAUCGCGGAUCAGCAUGCCGCGGUGAAUACGUUCCCGGGCCUUGUACACACCGCCCGUCACACCAUGAGAGUUUUAACACCCAAAGUCGG
rnacentral:rRNA from 2 species